rfam:Felis catus isolate Cinnamon breed Abyssinian chromosome D4, whole genome shotgun sequence.
GCCUGGGUGGCUCAGUUGGUUAAGCGUCCGACUUCAGCUCAGGUCACAAUCUCGUGGUCCGUGAGUUCGAGCCCCACUUUGGGCU